AGCGUACACGGUGGAUGCCCUGGCAGUCAGAGGCGAUGAAGGACGUGCUAAUCUGCGAAAAGCGCCGGCGAGGUGAUAUGAACCNCACACUAUCGUUAACUGAAUACAUAGGUUAACGAGGCGAACCGGGGGAACUGAAACAUCUAAGUACCCCGAGGAAAAGAAAUCAACCGAGAUUCCCCCAGUAGCGGCGAGCGAACGGGGAGCAGCCCGGAGUCUGAAUCAGCUUGUGUGUUAGUGGAACGGUCUGGAAAGUCCGACGGUACAGGGUGAUAGUCCCGUACACGAAAGCACACUUGCUGUGAACUCGAAGAGUAGGGCGGGACACGUGGUAUCCUGUCUGAAUAUGGGGGGACCAUCCUCCAAGGCUAAAUACUCCUGACUGACCGAUAGUGAACCAGUACCGUGAGGGAAAGGCGAAAAGAACCCCGGCGAGGGGAGUGAAAAAGAACCUGAAACCGUGUACGUACAAGCAGUGGGAGCACCUUCGUGGUGUGACUGCGUACCUUUUGUAUAAUGGGUCAGCGACUUAUAUUCUGUAGCAAGGUUAACCGUAUAGGGGAGCCGAAGGGAAACCGAGUCUUAACUGGGCGUUAAGUUGCAGGGUAUAGACCCGAAACCCGGUGAUCUAGCCAUGGGCAGGUUGAAGGUUGGGUAACACUAACUGGAGGACCGAACCGACUAAUGUUGAAAAAUUAGCGGAUGACCUGUGGCUGGGGGUGAAAGGCCAAUCAAACCGGGAGAUAGCUGGUUCUCCCCGAAAGCUAUUUAGGUAGCGCCUCGUGAACUCAUCUUCGGGGGUAGAGCACUGUUUCGGCUAGGGGGCCAUCCCGGCUUACCAACCCGAUGCAAACUACGAAUACCGAAGAAUGUUAUCACGGGAGACACACGGCGGGUGCUAACGUCCGUCGUGAAGAGGGAAACAACCCAGACCGCCAGCUAAGGUCCCAAAGUCAUGGUUAAGUGGGAAACGAUGUGGGAAGGCACAGACAGCCAGGAUGUUGGCUUAGAAGCAGCCAUCAUUUAAAGAAAGCGUAAUAGCUCACUGGUCGAGUCGGCCUGCGCGGAAGAUGUAACGGGGCUAAACCAUGCACCGAAGCUGCGGCAGCGACACUAUGUGUUGUUGGGUAGGGGAGCGUUCUGUAAGCCGUUGAAGGUGUGCUGUGAGGCAUGCUGGAGGUAUCAGAAGUGCGAAUGCUGACAUAAGUAACGAUAAAGCGGGUGAAAAGCCCGCUCGCCGGAAGACCAAGGGUUCCUGUCCAACGUUAAUCGGGGCAGGGUGAGUCGACCCCUAAGGCGAGGCCGAAAGGCGUAGUCGAUGGGAAACAGGUUAAUAUUCCUGUACUUGGUGUUACUGCGAAGGGGGGACGGAGAAGGCUAUGUCAGCCGGGCGACGGUUGUCCCGGUUUAAGCAUGUAGGCGGAGGUUCCAGGUAAAUCCGGUACCUUAUUAACGCUGAGGUGUGAUGACGAGGCACUACGGUGCUGAAGUGAUAAAUGCCCUGCUUCCAGGAAAAGCCUCUAAGCAUCAGGUAACACGAAAUCGUACCCCAAACCGACACAGGUGGUCAGGUAGAGAAUACCAAGGCGCUUGAGAGAACUCGGGUGAAGGAACUAGGCAAAAUGGUGCCGUAACUUCGGGAGAAGGCACGCUGAUGUGUAGGUGAAGUCCCUGCGGACGGAGCUGAAAUCAGUCGAAGAUACCAGCUGGCUGCAACUGUUUAUUAAAAACACAGCACUGUGCAAACACGAAAGUGGACGUAUACGGUGUGACGCCUGCCCGGUGCCGGAAGGUUAAUUGAUGGGGUUAGCUGUAAGGCGAAGCUCUUGAUCGAAGCCCCGGUAAACGGCGGCCGUAACUAUAACGGUCCUAAGGUAGCGAAAUUCCUUGUCGGGUAAGUUCCGACCUGCACGAAUGGCGUAAUGAUGGCCAGGCUGUCUCCACCCGAGACUCAGUGAAAUUGAACUCGCUGUGAAGAUGCAGUGUACCCGCGGCAAGACGGAAAGACCCCGUGAACCUUUACUAUAGCUUGACACUGAACACUGGUCCUUGAUGUGUAGGAUAGGUGGGAGGCUUUGAAGCGUGGACGCCAGUCUGCGUGGAGCCGCCCUUGAAAUACCACCCUUUAAUGGCUGGUGUUCUAACGUAGACCCGUAAUCCGGGUUGCGGACAGUGUCUGGUGGGUAGUUUGACUGGGGCGGUCUCCUCCCAAAGAGUAACGGAGGAGCACGAAGGUUGGCUAAUCCUGGUCGGACAUCAGGAGGUUAGUGCAAUGGCAUAAGCCAGCUUGACUGCGAGCGUGACGGCGCGAGCAGGUGCGAAAGCAGGUCAUAGUGAUCCGGUGGUUCUGAAUGGAAGGGCCAUCGCUCAACGGAUAAAAGGUACUCCGGGGAUAACAGGCUGAUACCGCCCAAGAGUUCAUAUCGACGGCGGUGUUUGGCACCUCGAUGUCGGCUCAUCACAUCCUGGGGCUGAAGUAGGUCCCAAGGGUAUGGCUGUUCGCCAUUUAAAGUGGUACGCGAGCUGGGUUUAGAACGUCGUGAGACAGUUCGGUCCCUAUCUGCCGUGGGCGCUGGAGAAUUGAGGGGGGCUGCUCCUAGUACGAGAGGACCGGAGUGGACGCAUCACUGGUGUUCGGGUUGUCAUGCCAAUGGCACUGCCCGGUAGCUAAAUGCGGAAGAGAUAAGUGCUGAAAGCAUCUAAGCACGAAACUUGCCCCGAGAUGAGUUCU
rnacentral:rRNA from 1 species